GAUGAACGCUGGCGGCGUGCCUAAUACAUGCAAGUCGAGCGAAUGGAUUAAGAGCUUGCUCUUAUGAAGUUAGCGGCGGACGGGUGAGUAACACGUGGGUAACCUGCCCAUAAGACUGGGAUAACUCCGGGAAACCGGGGCUAAUACCGGGUAACAUUUUGAACCGCAUGGUUCGAAAUUGAAAGGCGGCUUCGGCUGUCACUUAUGGAUGGACCCGCGUCGCAUUAGCUAGUUGGCGAGGUAACGGCUCACCAAGGCAACGAUGCGUAGCCGACCUGAGAGGGUGAGCGGCCACACUGGGACUGUGACACGGCCCAGACUCCUACGGGAGGCAGCAGUAGGGAAUCUUCCGCAAUGGACGAAAGUCUGACGGAGCAACGCCGCGUGAGUGAUGAAGGCUUUCGGGUCGUAAAACUCUGUUGUUAGGGAAGAACAAGUGCUAGUUGAAUAAGCUGGCACCUUGACGGUACCUAACCAGAAAGCCACGGCUAACUACGUGCCAGCCGCCGCGGUAA
rnacentral:rRNA from 1 species